rnacentral:lncRNA from 1 species
UAUGUUGUGUUAAUAGUUAUGUGUGUGUGAGUGGCCAAAUAUGGGUUAGAUUUCACAUCAUUUCCUUGUCACAUUAUUUGCUGAUUUUCUUUAAUGUGUAAUGCAUUAACCUGCUGUAGGUUAUUAAAUGUGUUGCGUAAGUGGAUGGCCAACUUGUGGUUGUAAUGAGUGUGACACCGGGAUAUUGAAUACACUACUGUUUAUUU